rnacentral:rRNA from 1 species
CAACCAAGCUGGCGACCGGCGCACGGGUGAGUAACACGUAUCCAACCUGCCUCAUACUCGGGGAUAGCCUUUCGAAAGAAAGAUUAAUAUCCGAUAGCAUAUAUUUCCCGCAUGGGUUUAUAUUAAAGAAAUUCGGUAUGAGAUGGGGAUGCGUUCCAUUAGUUUGUUGGGGGGUAACGGCCCACCAAGACUACGAUGGAUAGGGGUUCUGAGAGGAAGGUCCCCCACAUUGGAACUGAGACACGGUCCAA